rnacentral:misc_RNA from 1 species
AACGCAUCUUGCGCUCCUUGGUAUUCCGAGGAGCAUGCCUGUUUGAGUAUCAUUAAAUUAUCAACUGUGCCAAUUAUUUUGGUUUACAGAUUGGAUGUGGGGGGGAUUUUGCAGGCUUUUUAUUGAGUCUGCUCUCCUGAAAUGUAUUAGCAGUGCCUUUGUUGGUUUCCUUGGGUGUGAUAAUUUAUCUACAUCUUUACAUGGUACCUUCAUUUGUAAAGGUCAUAUUGCUUCCAAUUGUCUUUGGACGGAAUUAUGAAACUUGAUCUCAAAUCAGGCAGGACUACCCGCUGAACUUAA